rnacentral:tRNA from 1 species
GAGGGUAUAGCUCAGUGGUAGAGCACAUGCUUAGCAUGCAUGAGGUCCUGGACUCCAACCCUAGCACCUCCA